CCCUUAGAUGUUCUGGGCUGCACGCGCGCUACACUGAUGCGAUCAACAAGUUUUUCCUAUGUCGAUAGACACGGGUAAUCUUUUGAACUCGCAUCGUGAUGGGGAUAGAUUAUUGUAAUUAUUAAUCUUCAACGAGGAGUUCCUAGUAGGUGCAAAUCAUCAGUUUGCAUCGAUUACGUCCCUGCCCUUUGUACACACCGCCCGUCGCUGCUACCGAUUGGUUGAUCUGGUGAAUUAUUCGGACUGCCGGCUGAAGGGGUUUCCUCAUCUGCCAGCGGAAAGUCUUGUUAACCCUAUCAACUAGAGGAAGCAGAAGUCGUAACA
rnacentral:rRNA from 1 species